rnacentral:lncRNA from 1 species
GCCAAGACUGACCCAAUUUCCUCUAGUUAUGUUUGAUCCUGCCUCUCUGCUGAAGCCCUGCCAAGAUCUCUUCAGGUCCCUUUCAGACUCUGUGAUUUCUGUUGAUUAUGUGCCUUCUUUUAUUUCCUGUUAAAUGAAGAAAAGAAAAAAGACAAAACCAAUUAGCAAGAUUUUUAUCUAACUUCUAGACAGAUAGCUGUAAGCAAGACUUCAUUUUCCAAUGUUCUUAAUAGUCUUAUUUAGACUAUGAGUAUAUUCUAGCUUUUUACUUUAAGAAUGUUUUUCUCCCACCCACUAUGAAUGCCAAGCCUGUCAAUCACACUAACAACAACAAGAUACAUAUGGGACAGUUUAAGGAGGAAGAGCAGACAUAAGAAACUGCUCCUUUAACUUACUUGGAGUCAACUCCAAAAUGUGUGCCUGGGAGAAAAAAAAAUGAGUAUCUGUUUGGAAUGCCUGAAGCUGCUGUGGUUGUAGAAAAACUGUGCAUGACUGGAUCUCAUUUCUUGAAUGCAACAGAAUAUGAGCUGAGCAGAUUCAAAACAAUGCACCAGCCAAAGCUUCAGAAGAUGGUGCAUGACAUCAAGAAAAAUGAAAGUGGGAUAAUAAACAAGUUCAAAAAGUAAGUUUGCAACACCAAUCCCUAGUUUUAUCAAUGUGGGGAAGUUUGGAUUAUGAGCAUAGAGGUGUGUGGUACUUUAGUGAUGGG